UACGGAGGAUGCAAGCGUUAUCCGGAAUGAUUGGGCGUAAAGCGUCCGCAGGUGGCUAUGUAAGUCUGCUGUUAAAGAGUGAGGCUCAACCUCAUAAGAGCAGUGGAAACUACAUGGCUAGAGUGCGUUCGGGGCAGAGGGAAUUCCUGGUGUAGCGGUGAAAUGCGUAGAUAUCUGGAGGAACACCGGUGGCGAAGGCGGCAUCCUGGACCGGUAUUGACGCUGAGGCGCGAAAGCCAGGGGAGCAAACGGG
rnacentral:rRNA from 1 species